UGGGGAAUAUUGCACAAUGGGCGAAAGCCUGAUGCAGCAACGCCGCGUGAGUGAUGAAGGCCUUCGGGUUGUAAAGCUCUGUCUUUUGGGACGAUAAUGACGGUACCAAAGGAGGAAGCCACGGCUAACUACGUGCCAGCAGCCGCGGUAAUACGUAGGUGGCAAGCGUUGUCCGGAUUUUACUGGGCGUAAAGGAUGCGUAGGCGGAUUUUUAAGUGAGAUGUGAAAACCCUAAGCUUAACUUGGGGACUGCAUUUCAUACUGGAAAUCUAGAGUGCGGGAGAGGAGAAUGGAAUUCCUAGUGUAGCGGUGAAAUGCGUAGAGAUUAGGAAGAACACCAGUGGCGAAGGCGAUUCUCUGGACCGUAACUGACGCUGAGGCAUGAAAGCGUGGGUAGCAAACAGGAUUAGAUACCCUGGUAGUCCACGCCGUAAACGAUGAGUACUAGGUGUAGGAGGUAUCGACCCCUUCUGUGCCGCAGUUAACACAAUAAGUACUCCGCCUGGGAAGUACGAUCGCAAGAUUAAAAACUCAAAUGAAUUGACGGGGGUCAUAGCUGUUUUU
rnacentral:rRNA from 1 species